CUGUGUCACUCACCAGGGGUGGUGAGGUCAGAAAUUGAGAAGUAGCAAAAUUAAAACCACCAAGUGAAUGAAUAAUAUUUAAGAAGAAUUUAUUGUACAUAAACACCACUUUUCUCUCUGGGAGCUUCCAACUUCAAAGGCUGAUAGGUUUGAGGACAUGAGGUUACAGCAUGGCUUCUAAAGUGAAAAUGAGGAAGUUGUCCACCUUUCCAGUGGUUGCUUAUUACAAGAGAGUUUUUCAGGUGUCAAGGGAAUGGUGAAAAGUGAUUAUCUCAUACCAUUUUAGGGAGAUGA
rnacentral:lncRNA from 1 species